rnacentral:rRNA from 1 species
UGGGGAAUCUUGGACAAUGGGGGCAACCCUGAUCCAGCGACGCCGCGUGGGUGAUGAAGGCCUUAGGGUUGUAAACCCCUUUCACCGGGGAGGAUGAUGACGUUACCCGGAGAAGAAGCACCGGCUAACUCCGUGCCAGCAGCCGCGGUAAGACGGAGGGUGCUAGCGUUGUUCGGAAUCACUGGGCGUAAAGGGCGCGUAGGCGGCUUCGUCAGUCAGAUGUGAAAGCCCGGGGCUCAACCCCGGAACGGCAUUUGAUACUGCGGAGCUGGAGGACGAGAGAGGAGAGUGGAAUACCCAGUGUAGAGGUGAAAUUCGUAGAUAUUGGGUGGAACACCGGUGGCGAAAGCGGCUCUCUGGCUCGAACCUGACGCUGAGGCGCGAAAGCGUGGGGAGCAAACAGGAUUAGAUACCCCCGUAGUCC